rnacentral:rRNA from 1 species
AGCAGCCGCGGUAAUUCCAGCUCCAAUAGCGUAUAUUAAAGUUGUUGCAGUUAAAAAGCUUGUAGUUGAAUUUCGGGGUUCUACGGUCGGUCGGGCUAAUGUCUGUACUGGUGUGUAGAACUCCUACCUUCUGGGGAACCAUCAUGUUAUUAAUUUAGCGUGGUGGGAAACCAGGACCUUUACCUUGAAAAAAUUAGAGUGUUCAAAGCAGGCUUAUGUCUGAAUACAUUAGCAUGGAAUAAUAAAAUAGGACGGUGGUCCUGUUUUGUUGGUUUCUGAAUCACCGUAAUGAUUAAUAGGGAUAGUUGGGGGCAUUAGUAUUCAAUUGUCAGAGGUGAAAUUCUUGGAUUUAUUGAAGACUAACUUCUGCGAAAGCAUUUGCCAAGGAUGUUUUCAUUAAUCAAGAACGAAAGUUAGGGGAUCGAAGACGAUCAGAUACCGUCGUAGUCU